rfam:Erinaceus europaeus unplaced genomic scaffold scaffold00293, whole genome shotgun sequence
GCCCGGCUAGCUCAGUCGGUAGAGCAUGAGACUCUUAAUAUCAGGGUCGUGGGUUCAUGCCCCACGUUGGGCG